GACGAACGCUGGCGGCGUGCCUAAUACAUGCAAGUAGAACGCACAGUUUAUACCGUAGCUUGCUACACCAUAGACUGUGAGUUGCGAACGGGUGAGUAACGCGUAGGUAACCUGCCUGGUAGCGGGGGAUAACUAUUGGAAACGAUAGCUAAUACCGCAUAAUAUUAAUUAUUGCAUGAUAAUUGAUUGAAAGAUGCAACUGCAUCACUACCAGAUGGACCUGCGUUGUAUUAGCUAGUAGGCGAGGUAACGGCUCACCUAGGCGACGAUACAUAGCCGACCCGAGAGGGUGAUCGGCCACACUGGGACUGAGACACGGCCCAGACUCCUACGGGAGGCAGCAGUAGGGAAUCUUCGGCAAUGGACGAAAGUCUGACCGAGCAACGCCGCGUGAGUGAAGAAGGUUUUCGGAUCGUAAAGCUCUGUUGUAAGAGAAGAACGGGUGUGAGAGUGGAAAGUUCACACUGUGACGGUAUCUUACCAGAAAGGGACGGCUAACUACGUG
rnacentral:rRNA from 1 species